GUGGGACGAGAGAGGUCGGAAGAGUGGAACCAGAUGUUUAAUAAUCGGGAGCGUGCAACAUUUUGAACGCUCAUGGAUGGGAGGGACUCGCAAUGGUCAAAGAAACACCGACUGACCCCGCCGAGGAGAGUGCCAACGUAGACGCGUGUAAGAAAAAUUAGAUCUGUCCGUUACACGCGAGAAAGUAGGUUUUUUUUGUUAAAUCCGUCCCCUGGCUAUCGGGUCGAAAACACCCCUGACUUCCCCGAGAGCUAGCCGGGAACGAUAGACCAGGGCGGCAAAAAGGCGGAUCAUAACAGUUUUUAAGCGUUCCGCCUUAUCUUACCCUUACAAAAAUAUCGGCCUUGGAGUCGGGAUGACGGGAGAGCCGCCGCUCCCAGCGGUAAGAUCGCCGCCGUCAUCGCCUUUUGAGCCCUAUAGCAACAACGCCAGAACAUCGUAGAAUAGAAGGGCAAUGCGGGAAAUGGGUUAUGAAGGGUUUGAAGAGCCCUGGGUAGGGUGCUGGGUGCAGUGCAGGCAUAUUGUGUGUGUGUGUGUUUCCUCGUCUGCUUCUCGCACAGUCAAAUCUAUCAUUUCCAGCUGCACCGUUUGCACUUCAAAAAUAAAUGUAUUUGUUGCUGUUGCUGCUGUUGUAGUUGUUGAUGAUGGCUGCUGCUGGAUUAAUACUAUUUUUCGUAUA
rnacentral:lncRNA from 1 species